rnacentral:rRNA from 1 species
UACAGAGGUCUCAAGCGUUGUUCGGAUUCAUUGGGCGUAAAGGGUGUGUAGGUGGCGCCGUAAGUCGGGUGUGAAAUUUCGGAGCUUAACUCCGAAACUGCAUUCGAUACUGCCGUGCUUGAGGACUGGAGAGGAGACUGGAAUUUACGGUGUAGCGGUGAAAUGCGUAGAUAUCGUAAGGAAGACCAGUGGCGGAGGCGGGUCUCUGGACAGUUCCUGACGCUGAGGCACGAAGGUCAGGGGAGCAAACGGG